rnacentral:rRNA from 1 species
GACGUAGGGGGCCAGCGUUGUUCGGAAUUACUGGGUGUAAAGGGUUCGUAGGCGGUGCGGCAAGUCGGGAGUGAAAUCUCUGGGCUCAACCCAGAGGCUGCUUCCGAAACUGCUGUGCUUGAGUGUGGGAGAGGCGCGUGGAAUUGCAGGUGUAGCGGUGAAAUGCGUAGAUAUCUGCAGGAACACCCGUGGCGAAAGCGGCGCGCUGGACCACUACUGACGCUGAGGCGCGAAGGCCAGGGGAGCAAACGGG